UGUCUUGUCUCAUUAUAAGGAUUCAUCAAACGUGAGGAAAAAGACUUUGGAAACCGGGCACCAUUGUUCCAGCUCCUCUUCCCUCCCUGUCAUCCAUGAUCCUCCUGUAUUUCUCCUUGAUCCUAAACUCUACCCUCCCCAACCACAGUUCCUGUCCCCAGAUGUCCUGAUGCCCAGCAUGGCAGGGGAGCCCUAUAGAUCCCCAGGAACUUCGAGGAGUGUCCAACAGUUUCUGGCUAUGUGUGACAGGGAUGAAACUCCCCAAGGGGUCAAGUACACAGGAAGGACUUUGAACUACCGAAGUCUACCUCAUCGUUCCAGAACUGAUGCUUCCUGGGGACCAGGGACAGAAACCAACCAGCACAUUGGGGCCAGAGUCUUAACUGCGCCAGCAUGCAAGCCUCAGCUAACCUACACUGCCACACUACCAGAAAGACACCAGGGCCUUCAGGUUCCUCAUGCUCAGUCCUGGGGCAAUCUUUUCCACUUACCCUCCCAUCCUUCUGCUGUUCACCCAGGGUCCCCACCAUCCAGCAGUCUUCAUGUACUCCAUAGGUCAUCUUGGAAUUCGGGUUCUGUUCUGGGGUCCCGAACACCUGGUCCUCGACGAAUAGACGUGCCCCCAGAUGAUGACGGGAGACAGAGCCAAUACCCCUCUCAGUAUAGACACAGGAGUGCAGGGGAGGAGAGAGUUAGGUUUGCUCUGUCAAACACUGCGGGCACAGAGCAGAGCAGGGUGAGACUGCUACAGCACAGCAG
rnacentral:lncRNA from 1 species